rnacentral:rRNA from 1 species
ACAGCAGCAGCCGCGGUAAUACGGAGGGUGCAAGCGUUAAUCGGAAUUACUGGGCGUAAAGCGCACGCAGGCGGUCUGACAAGUCAGAUGUGAAAUCCCCGGGCUUAACCUGGGAACUGCAUUUGAAACUGUCAGGCUGGAGUCUUGUAGAGGGGGGUGGAAUUCCAGGUGUAGCGGUGAAAUGCGUAGAGAUCUGGAGGAAUACCGGUGGCGAAGGCGGCCCCCUGGACAAAGACUGACGCUCAGGUGCGAAAGCGUGGGGAGCAAACAGGAUUAGAUACCCCGGUAGUCCCUGUCUCUUAUAC